rnacentral:rRNA from 1 species
UGGGGAAUAUUGCACAAUGGGCGGAAGCCUGAUGCAGCGACGCCGCGUGAGGGAUGACGGCCUUCGGGUUGUAAACCUCUUUCAGCAGGGAAGAAGCGCAAGUGACGGUACCUGCAGAAGAAGCACCGGCUAACUACGUG